UACAGAGGUCCCAAGCGUUGUUCGGAUUCACUGGGCGUAAAGGGUGCGCAGGUGGGUUUGCAAGUUCGAUGUGAAAGCCCCGGGCUUAACCCGGGAAUGGCAUUGGAUACUGCAGAUCUGGAGGAUCGGAGGGGGGACUGGAAUUCUUGGUGUAGCAGUGAAAUGCGUAGAUAUCAAGAGGAACACCGGUGGCGAAGGCGGUCUUCUGGACGGUGACUGACGCUGAGGCGCGAAAGCGUGGGGAGCAAACGGG
rnacentral:rRNA from 1 species